AUUGAACGCUGGCGGCAGGCCUAACACAUGCAAGUCGAACGAGUGGCGGACGGGUGAGUAAUGUCUGGGAAACUGCCCGAUGGAGGGGGAUAACUACUGGAAACGGUAGCUAAUACCGCAUACCAUCGGAUGUGCCCAGAUGGGAUUAGCUAGUAGGUGGGGUAACGACUCACCUAGUCGACGAUCCCUAGCUGGUCUGAGAGGAUGACCAGCCACACUGGAACUGAGACACGGUCCAGACUCCUACGGGAGGCAGCAGUGGGGAAUAUUGCACUAUGGGCACAAGCCUGAUGCAGCCAUGCCGCGUGUAUGAAGAAGGCCUUCGGGUUGUAAAGUACUUUCAGCGAAGGUGCGUUACUCGCAAAAGAAGCACCGACUAACUCCGUGCCAGCAGCCGCGGUAAUUC
rnacentral:rRNA from 1 species